CUUCAGUGAUGAUGCUUGAUGACGAGUCUGAUGGAACUUAGCUUGUCUCAGGAUUCUUGAUGCAGCUGGCAUGUUCUGUGCUUCUGAAUCUGGACUCCUGGGUGCUGUGUCUCAUCUAGUGACGACUUUGAGGCAUUUGUCUGAGAAGG